AUCGAGGGUAGAGUCAUGCUUGGGCUAUUGCCUUUGUGUGCUAGAGUCCUUGAAGAGCAACUACUGACCUUAUUCACUGACUGUGGUCCCCUAUGGCAUAGUCAGUCACCAGGUUAGUGACAUGU